rnacentral:rRNA from 1 species
CAGGCCUAACACAUGCAAGUCGAACGGUUUCGAGUACUUGUACUUCACAUAUUGGCAAACGGGUGAGUAUUGCCUAUGAAUCUGCCGAUUAAUGGGGGACAACGUUUCCAAAGGAACGCUAAUACCGCAUACGCCCUACGGGGGAAAACAGGGGAUCACUUGUGACCUUCCGUUAAUUGAUGAGCCUACGUCAGAUUAGCUAGUUGGUGAGGUAAAGGCUCACCAACGCGACGAUCUGUAGCGGGUCUGAUAGGAUGAUCCGCCACACUGGAACUGACACACGGUCCAUACUCCUACGGGAGGCAGCAGUGGGGAAUAUUGGACAAUGGGGGCAACCCUGAUCCAUCCAUGCCGCGUGAGUGAUGAAGGCCCUACGGUUGUAAAGCUCUUUCACCGGUGAAGAUAAUGACCGUAACCGGAGAAGAAGCCCCGGCUAACUUCGUGCCAGCAGCCGCGGUAAU